rnacentral:rRNA from 1 species
CGGGAGUGCUCGCAAGAGAACCGGCGCACAGGUGCUGCAUGGCUGUCGUCAGCUCGUGUCGUGAGAUGUUGGGUUAAGUCCCGCAACGAGCGCAACCCUUGUCCUUAGUUGCUACGCAAGGGCACUCUAAGGAGACUGCCGGUGACAAGCCGGAGGAAGGUGGGGAUGAUGUCAAGUCCUCAUGGCCCUUACGGGUAGGGCUUCACACGUCAUACAAUGGUCUGUACAGAGGGACGCUAACCUGCGAGGGGGUGCUAAACCCAGAAAACGGAUCGUAGUCCGGAUUGCAGUCUGCAACUCGACUGCAUGAAGCUGGAAUCGCUAGUAAUCGCGGAUCAGCAUNCCGCGGUGAAUACGUUCCCGGGUCUUGUACACACCGCCCGUCACACCAUGGGAGUGGUUUCUACCAGAAGCCUUUAGCCUAACCGCAAGGAGGGCGAUGACCGCGG